UACGUAGGGUGCAAGCGUUAAUCGGAAUUACUGGGCGUAAAGCGUGCGCAGGCGGUUUUGUAAGUCUGAUGUGAAAUCCCCGGGCUCAACCUGGGAAUUGCAUUGGAGACUGCAAGGCUAGAAUCUGGCAGAGGGGGGUAGAAUUCCACGUGUAGCAGUGAAAUGCGUAGAGAUGUGGAGGAACACCGAUGGCGAAGGCAGCCCCCUGGGUCAAGAUUGACGCUCAUGCACAAAAGCGUGGGGAGCAAACAGG
rnacentral:rRNA from 1 species